AACGAACGCUAGCGGCAGGCUUAACACAUGCAAGUCGAGGGGUAUAGUUCUUCGGAGCUAGAGACCGGCGCACGGGUGCGUAACGCGUAUGCAUCUACCUUUUGCAGAGGGAUAGCCCAGAGAAAUUUGGAUUAAUACCUCAUGGUAUGUGAGAAUGGCAUCAUUUUCACAUUAAAGUCACAACGGCAAAAGAUGAGCAUGCGUCCCAUUAGCUAGUUGGUAAGGUAACGGCUUACCAAGGCAACGAUGGGUAGGGGUCCUGAGAGGGAGAUCCCCCAAACGGGUACUGGGACACGGACCAGAAUCCUACGGGAGGCAGCAGUGAGGAAUAUUGGACAAGGGGCGCAAGCCUGAUCCAGCCAUGCCGCGUGCAGGAUGACGGUCCUAUGGAUUGUAAACUGCUUUUGUACAGGAAGAAACACUGGUUCGUGAACCAGCUUGACGGUACUGUAAGAAUAAGGAUCGGCUAACUCCGUGCCAGCAGCCGCGGUAAUAC
rnacentral:rRNA from 1 species